rnacentral:rRNA from 1 species
AUGAACGCUGGCGGCUUGCCUAAUACAUGCAAGUCGAGCGAACAGACGAGGAGCUUGCUCCUCUGACGUUAGCGGCGGACGGGUGAGUAACACGUGGAUAACCUACCUAUAAGACUGGGAUAACUUCGGGAAACCGGAGCUAAUACCGGAUAAUAUAUUGAACCGCAUGGUUCAAUAGUGAAAGACGGUUUUGCUGUCACUUAUAGAUGGAUCCGCGCCGCAUUAGCUAGUUGGUAAGGUAACGGCUUACCAAGGCAACGAUGCGUAGCCGACCUGAGAGGGUGAUCGGCCACACUGGAACUGAGACACGGUCCAGACUCCUACGGGAGGCAGCAGUAGGGAAUCUUCCGCAAUGGGCGAAAGCCUGACGGAGCAACGCCGCGUGAGUGAUGAAGGUCUUCGGAUCGUAAAACUCUGUUAUUAGGGAAGAACAAAUGUGUAAGUAACUAUGCACGUCUUGACGGUACCUAAUCAGAAAGCCACGGCUAACUACGUG